UUUAAGAACGCUUUUCAGAGCGAUUUUUAAAAGAGUAAUUUAUAUUGCAUGACAGUUUUGAGUUUUUUUUUAACAGGAUAAUGAGUUAACACUACCAAGACAGUUUUUGUGUGAAAAGUCUUAACUUGCUCCUAAAAAAGGUAACCUAUGAUAAAAAAAAAUAGUUAGGGCGUUUUUUGUUAAGUUAGAUUUCUGAAAUUUAAAACUGGGUGGUGGACCCCCGAUGACAAACUAAAGAAGAUUAAACUCAUUUUAAAAUAUCGGACGUGUAAAAAAAAUUAGUUUUACUUUUGGGAACUUUAACUGAAGAGGAAAAAAGAAACCAAAAAGGCGAGGAUGGAGACGAGAGCGACGAGAGCGAAAUCAAAAAGUUUACGGUGUUGUUUUACUUAGCAGGAUGUCGAGCAGAUGGAGCUGGCAUGGAAAGGAGAAACCAGACGAAACGGCAGAGGUUGAGGAUGUAAAAAAGGGAUCCCGGAGCGGUUAUUCGCAACUGACCGGUACCCAAGUGAAAGGGUGAACAUGUAUUCUACCGUCGAUCAUCUCUUGGCGGCAAGAGAUGCGCUGAACAACAUACCGGAGAUGGUGAAGCUGAUUGGUUCAUGAUUUGGAAAUUUCUUCCAAAUUCCUGUUUCGGAUUGAAUGUGGCGGACGAGCAAAAGGCAGAACACGAUUCUGGGUUAAGCUUACUUUUCUUGUGCGGCUGUAUAGAUAUACAAAAAUUGUACCGUAAAUGUGUACGUAACAAAAAAGUUGUGUACAUGCAUACUCCGAAACUGGUGUAUGCAUGUGUGCAAGUACUUGUAUGUUAUACUGUUGUUUUAGUUUUCUUGAAGUUGCUUGUCAAACCAAAGAUGGAGAUUUGUGGAAGCCACGAAGAAAGGUGGAGUGUUUGGAUUAAUAUAAUGAUAUGCAUAAAUGUGUUAAGUGUAAAAUAAAAUUAUUCACAAAAAAUGAAAAUUACUUAUAGAUAUGAUACUAAUUAAUAUUAAGUUUAUAUUCAAAUACAAAUUAUAAUAACUUUUAAAAUUUCAAAAAAAAAAAACUUAUUUUGAACACCUUUUUUGGUGGGGCAAUACAAAUUUCAAAUAAUUUCAAAUAAAAACUAAACAUGUUUUUUUUUUUGUAUUACCCCCUCCCCAGAAAAAAACUAAACAUGUUUUGCAAGUGAAUAGGAAAGAGAUCUCUUUAAGGACGAGAAUCUAGCCAGCCUUGAGCAUUUGCAAGUGUAUGCGCUCUUAGACAAGCUUAAUACACUACAUGGAAGCAUACGUUUGAUUUCCGACCAAUGGAUCUAUCCAAAUUGUCCAUCAACCACGUUUACGACCCAUUUCUCCACCUCAACCAACAUCAACGGAACAUUUUGAACCGAGCUCAAUGGUUGCAAACUUACAUAUUAUGCCUUUGGAGUUGGUUAUAAACUUUAGUCAUUUGAAUGUUGGGCUUCUGAUAAAUGGGUUUAACCCAUGUUUCUAAAUAUUUGUGCACACUAUAUUUCGGGCCGUAGAGAUGUCUCUCCCGUUGGCAUUCAGCUAGGGUUUCUAAACUAUACCCUAGGGAAGCCACCUAUAUAUAAUACACAUAUACACGAUUGCAUAUUUAUCCGCAGAGUUUAGGUUAAGGGCUUUGGUUGCUGGGGAAUUAUAAUAGCACGUUAUAUCUGUUCUUCUUUGUCUAUCGUUUGGAAAAGAUUGAUGACGCCAUCUACACUUUUCCAAAUGUAGACAAAGCAAAACCGUGAUGACGUCGUAGAGAUCUUGUUGAUGGUACGAACUUGUGUUCGUCCAUCAAUUAUCUAUUUCUUUUUUUCCCAAUGUUAACAUCUGACUGCUCAUCUUGUUUUUGACUUUAAUUGAACCGUAUAUUCUCUUGUCGUCUCUCUUCUUUUUCUUUUUGCAGAUCAGGAUUUUCUUACCACGAUUUCUACUGAGAGAAGCAAAAGUACAACUAUGAAGUACUGUUCAGUCCGGCUCGGACAUGACCGACCGAACUUAUCUAUAUUCUAUUAUAACAGCAAAUUUUUUUCAUAAUACUUGUAUCUUUUAAAGACCAACAAAUUGUUCUCUUAUCUUUUGAACUAUAAUGAAGAAUUAUUCGAGAGUAAUCAACCGAUUAAGUUAAAAGAAAAGUGCGAACAAAAGCUCUGUUGUGAAGUUAUUGAUCAUUUUCUAAAUUUAAAAUAUGUUACAUCCAUUCGACCUAAAA